CGAAGGAUGCAAGCGUUAUCCGGAUUCAUUGGGUUUAAAGGGAGCGUAGCGGCCUUAUAAGUCAGUGGUGAAAUCUUUGGGCUUAACCCAAAAAUUGCCAUUGAUACUGUAGGGCUUGAGUACAGUUGCUGUGGGCGGAAUAUGACAUGUAGUGGUGAAAUACAUAGAGAUGUCAUAGAACACCGAUUGCGAAGGCAGCUCACAAAACUGUAACUGACGCUGAGGCUCGAAAGUGCGGGGAUCAAACAGGAUUAGAUACCCUGGUAGUCCGCACUGUAAACGAUGAUUACUCGCUGCUGGAAGGUAACUUUCAGUGGCUUAGCGAAAGCGAUAAGUAAUCCACCUGGGGAGUACGCCGGCAACGGUG
rnacentral:rRNA from 1 species